rnacentral:SRP_RNA from 1 species
GGGGUAAGUCUUGUACGACCAGCUCCCUUUGACUCCCCCAGGACGGGAACGUAGCAAGGGUAGAAGGUUGAGCGGUGCGAUGUAAGUAGCUUACCCC